CGACAACGCCCCCUCCCUGCCUUAAUCCCUCCGCCCCUUUUCGCGGCCACUUUGUGGAGUUUUGCUCCGCUGCACCUGGUGAUGCGGGGAUGCUACAGCUUUGUCCUGUCAGCUCGUAUGGAAGACUGUCCAUGGAAACACCAGGAAGUAGUGGUGAAGGUGAAUUAAAUGGCAAACUGCUCACUUUGUAAAGUUAACGUGAGGAUUAUAUUAAUAACUAAAAUAAUUAUCAAAAAGUUACUUUAUUUGUUUGAUGAUACAGAAAGUGAUAUAUUUUGAAGUAGAGAUUUUAGAAAAUCUGAAUAGUACAUAAGACCAACAUCUCCUUUGCUCCUUUUUCUACCACGUUUUCCCAUCCUCUCAACUUUCCAUUCACAUACAUAAAACCAAUAAAGAUA